UUUCUCCCUCUCAGCUGCUGACCCCACAGUGCAGUGAGCCCAAUGCCCUGGGUGCUGCUUUGGGGAACCCCUCUUUGUUCCAGGGUGCUCAGGGACCCCCAGACCCACCCUGCAGUGCUGGAGAACAUGCUUAUGGAGCAGUUUUCCCUCUGCUCUUUUUUCAAAGAAAAUCUAUAUCAUUAUUACUAUUGAGAGGGUAUAAAAAAGAGAAACAAAGCUCUCUGGGGCAGUAUAAUUAUUGUGUGCUGCUUUGGGAUAAAUGCUCCCAUUUCAGUGCUGAGGGGAUGCCCUCAUCUCCCCUCAGCCUACAGUUGAGGAGCACUGGAGUUCAGCCAUCAAUGAAUGUGAGUCCUCAGCAAAAUCAACCCAGGGGUUUCUUCCAGCUUGGGAUAUUCUGUGAUUCUGUGCAAUGAGAGAUGCUCUGACAUGGGUCUGGGUUUGCCAGUGCUUCUCCCACCUUUAGCAUCCAUAAAACCACUCUGGGACAUUAUCCACCCAGCAUGUAAAUGCACCAUUGGAGUAGUCAAGGAAGGAGGGAAAACCAAAGCUGCCCAUUUCCCUGUUGGAAUGAAGUGGCUCCCAUCCAUGUAAAUACAUUUUGGUAGUGGCUGCAAUGGCCAUAGGGGAUGCUGGGGGGAUGGGAGAGACCCCAGACAGGUCUCUCCCCUGCCAGCUGCUUGCAGGAUCUCCCGAGGUGUCUGGACAGGUAAUUAGUGCCUGGGCCGCAGGAUCCCUCCAGUCAUCCCGCCCAGCACAUGCGAGGAGCGGCAGGGCUCGAUUUUUGAUGGCUGAUUUACCCCGAACAAAGACCCCAAACAGCACUGAGCGCCCGACUCAGGGAUGGAAACUUUAGAGCCAACGGGCUCCUUUCCCAUCAGUUAAAAAUAGUGUUAUUUUUUUCUAAGCUGAUAACAUUAUAAACAUUUUGCGAGACAGAGUUUUCUUGGGAGGCAGGGAAACCUGCGCGUUGGCUAUAAAAGAAACUUCUGUGGAUAAGGAAACGUUUCCUGUGAACUCACCUGUUGCCAGCCAAGGAGAAAUGUUUGGUGUUUUAUUUCAAUCAAGAAUUUGCUGCUAUCUGGUGCUUUAUCUAACCUCACUCUUUGGAAGAUUUGAUGUCACGCUUGGCAGAGCCCUCAGAUCCAUGCGGCUUUAUGGUGCUGCUCCGCUAAAACUCCUCAUGUGUUGGUGUACAGUUGAAAAUAAAGCCUGAAAUCCUCACAGAAUGGGCAAAUGUGGCCCAAAUCAGCCUUGAAUUUUUAAACAGGAGUUGAUAUAAGCACCUCUGUGCAACUCUCCCAGUGUCUGAGCUAUGCCAGGCAGUGCUAUUUGCUGCACAGGAGAGGUCUCUGCCACACAGCCCCUGGUUUUAUUGCGUGUUGUAUACUGGCACUUACUGUUUAACUUUACACAGAGACUGACAUUGAAAGGCAGCCUCAGCUUCUCAGAACCUGUAUAACACCAAUGGCUGCAUGGGCCAACAUCUGCAGCCAUUUCGGUCUUUAUGCCACCUCAUUUACAGAGGUCACCAUCAGGUGGAGUGGGAUACUGAAAUGUAUGCCCCUGCUUCAACCACAAUGGACUAUAUGUAUAUAUAUAUAUUUAAGUAAACCAGCAUUUUGCAAAUAGUGUUUUUUGGGGUUUUCUAUGAGGAGUGGGGAGGCAGUGCUUGGGGCUGCCCUUUGCCUCACAUGGUGGCAGGUUCCAAAGAAGAUGCAACAGUGAUCUCCAGGGAUCCCUCCCAACCUCUAUGACUCCAUAACAACAGCCAGCUGGGACACAGCCCCUGAUGUGAUCACAACCUGACCCACCCUGGCUGCCUGCUGUAGCACUGAAGUUGCCCACAAUCAAGCAGAAAAUGAACUUCUCGCUUGCCUGACCUUAUCUCACCUGCUUCCCAUUUUAUCCUCCUAUGGAUGCAACUUUCCCUGCAGGAGAAAGGUUAAAGUGUUGAAAAAGGAAAGCUGUUAAAAGAUGGCUACUGUGAAGCUACAACUUCAAUCCUUGUCUUCUCUGACUUUGCUUUAUAGACUGUGGUGGGUUUUGUUUUGUGCGGGUCUCCAAAUACAAUGAAGUUAAUUUGCACCAAUUUCAUUUUGUGUAUGCUUUGGGGUUUUUGUUGUUGGUUUUUU